UGGGAGGAGAGAGAGAGGUCUGAUGGGAGGUGAGAGGAGUCUGAUGGGAGGUGAGAGGAGUCUGAUGGGAGGAGAGAGAGGUCUGAUGGGAGGAGAGAGGAGUCUGAUGGGAGGAGAGAGGAGUCUGAUGGGAGGUGAGAGGAGUCUGAUGGGAGGUGAGAGGAGUCUGAUGGGAGGAGAGAGGAGUCUGAUGGGAGGUGAGAGGAGUCUGAUGGGAGGAGAGAGGAGUCUGAUGGGAGGAGAGAGGAGUCUGAUGGGAGGUGAGAGGAGUCUGAUGGGAGAUGAGGGGUCUGAUGGGAGGAGAGAGGAGUCUGAUGGGAGAUGAGAGAGAGGUCUGAUGGGAGGUGAGAGGAGUCUGAUGGGAGGAGAGAGAAGUCUGACGGGAGGUGAGAGAGAAGUCUGACGGGAGGUGAGAGAGGUCUGAUGGGAGGUGAGAGGAGUCUGAUGGGAGGUGAGAGGAGUCUGAUGGGAGGUGAGAGGAGUCUGAUGGGAGGAGAGAGAGGUCUGAUGGGAGGUGAGAGAGGUCUGAUGGGAGGUGAGAGAGGUCUGAUGGGAGGUGAGAGAGGUCUGAUGGGAGGAGAAAGAGGUCUGAUGGGAGGAGAGAAAGGUCUGAUGGGAGGUGAGAGGAGUCUGAUGGGAGGAGAGAGAGGUCUGAUGGGAGGUGAGAGAGGUCUGAUGGGAGGUGAGAGGAGUCUGAUGGGAGGUGAGAGGAGUCUGAUGGGAGGUGAGAGGAGUCUGAUGGGAGGUGAGAGGAGUCUGAUGGGAGGUGAGAGGAGUCUGAUGGGAGAUGAGGGGUCUGAUGGGAGGAGAGAGAGGUCUGAUGGGAGGUGAGAGGAGUCUGAUGGGAGGUGAGAGAGGUCUGAUGGGAGGUGAGAGUAGUCUGAUGGGAGAGGAGGGGUCUUAUGGGAGGAGAGAGAGAUCUGACGGGAGGUGAGAGAGAGGUCUGAUGGGAGGUGAGAGAGGUCUGAUGGGAGGAGAGAGAGGUCUGAUGGGAGAUGAGGGGUCUGAUGGGAGGAGAGAGAGGUCUGAUGGGAGAUGAGGGGUCUGAUGGGAGGAGAGAGAGGUCUGAUGGGAGGUGAGAGUGGUCUGAUGGGAGGAGAGAGAGGUCUGAUGGGAGGAGAGAGAGGUCUGAUGGGAGGAGAGAGGGGUCUGAUGGGAGGAGAGAGAGGUCUGAUGGGAGGAGAGAGGGGUCUGAUGGGAGGAGAGAGAGGUCUGAUGGGAGGAGAGAGGAGUUUGAUGGGAGGAGAGAGAAGUCUGAUGGGAGGAGAGAGGUCUGAUGGGAGGAGA